UUUACGGAGAGUUUGAUCCUGGCUCAGGAUGAACGCUGGCGGCGUGCUUAACACAUGCAAGUCGAACGAUGAAGCCCAGCUUGCUGGGUGGAUUAGUGGCGAACGGGUGAGUAACACGUGAGUAACCUGCCCUUAACUCUGGGAUAAGCCUGGGAAACUGGGUCUAAUACCGGAUAGGAGCGCCUACCGCAUGGUGGGUGUUGGAAAGAUUUAUCGGUUUUGGAUGGACUCGCGGCCUAUCAGCUUGUUGGUGAGGUAAUGGCUCACCAAGGCGACGACGGGUAGCCGGCCUGAGAGGGUGACCGGCCACACUGGGACUGAGACACGGCCCAGACUCCUACGGGAGGCAGCAGUGGGGAAUAUUGCACAAUGGGCGCAAGCCUGAUGCAGCGACGCCGCGUGAGGGAUGACGGCCUUCGGGUUGUAAACCUCUUUCAGUAGGGAAGAAGCGAAA
rnacentral:rRNA from 1 species